GGAAGAUGUAACGGGGCUAAGUAGUAAACCGAAGCUGCGGCAAUAUACUUUUGUAUAUUGGGUAGGGGAGCGUUCUGUAAGCGGUUGAAGGUGUGUGGUAACGCAUGCUGGACGUAUCAGAAGUGCGAAUGCUGACAUGAGUAACGAUAAAGGGGGUGAAAAACCUCCUCGCCGGAAGACCAAGGGUUCCUGUCCAACGUUAAUCGGGGCAGGGUAAGUCGACCCCUAAGGCGAGGCCGAAAGGCGUAGUCGAUGG
rnacentral:rRNA from 1 species